GUCUCACUCAUGGCCGAUCAGUGUGUUCUUUCUGAUUAGCUCUUAAUUGAGAUCACCUGUCACGCACCCCUUUAUUAAUGGUGAACACAAUGGGUUUGGUUUACUUUUCGCAUCGGCCUUUGUCAAUCGAGGUUGAGUUUAGUGAGGGUUGAAAGUUUUCGAUCUAGAUUGCAGAUCACUAUUGUCACUUUAUACAAACUGAAAGUAUGCGUUGUUGCGUGUUUGUUUUUGUGGGCAUUUGACUGAACAGCCCAGACAAAUAUUGCUACCAACAUGGCACUUGGAAACAGACCACCGCAGUAGUCUCUCUGCCCACGCUGUCGUGUCUGUCAAGUAGGAUUAAGGCCGGCCCUUCUCUAAUUGGCUGGCAGCGCGCUGGUCUGCCGAGCGUUCAGGAAACAAUAGCGAGGCCCAUGGAACAAUGGGCUGGCCCCAGAUCAGUGGGGGCCUGCAGUCACCAGACGCUACGUCUUGUUUCCUGUUGGGUUACUCAUGGCUGCCUGAUGCGCGCCACACUCCCCGCUCUGUCUGAGGGGAUCGGCUGAGGAAAGGCUUUGUGUUACACCAGACUGUUUUAGAUUUGCAGGCCGUAAAGUGUAAUGGCGUUGCAAUGUGUGGCGUCGCAUGGAAGUGUGAUGUGUCUGCUCUGCUGAGUGAAGGACUGGGAGGACGUGAAUGAUGAAUACCCCCCCCCCCUGGUCUGACGACUGUGACUCAACCAGGUGUGUGUGUGUGUGUGUGUGUGUGUGUGUGUGUUUGUGUGUGUGAGAGGAGGGAUUUGCUGUGUUGUUUUACGCAAGUCUUGUGUAAUGCGCUACCAUGGCAGUCCCAUAAACAACCUUUAAAUGGCAGAACGCUACUGCAGCCACGGAGGGCCUGAGCCAUCUCGCCACCCAGGCGGACCGAGGGCCUGUCAUCCCCCCCCACACACACACACACGUUGGUAGCCUACGCCGCCACGCCGGCAGCACCAGCCUUCUCCGCCAUGUCACCAUGCCGGAGGUAGGAAGUCAAACCAAUUACGGUCGUAUUUAAAGAAAAUUGGCACCGGGGCCGGAAAAGUGGGGGCAUUUCCAAAAACCACAGAGAGAGAAAUGGCAGAGGCUCAGUGAAAUAUGAAAUGGCUGGUGGACUAGUUCUGCAGCCAUAUUUUUCAGCCUCCAAACGAAGCGCUGAUUGUAUUGUUUGAG
ensembl:lncRNA